AUAUUAGAGAUUAAGGUUAGUUUUUUGGAGGCAUUUGAGCUUUAGAGGCUAGAAUCAAUAAUUUUAGGUUUUUAGCUAUGAUCUUGGUACAAAUUUUGUUUGAUUUGGAGUUUAUAUAAAAGAGAUAUAAGUACUCAAAGUUACAAUAUUGAUUUUGUACUUAUUGUCAUUCAUUUGGAUAUAACACACGCGUACAAAAAGCAACAGAAGAUCGGCAACUGAGACUAAAGAGAAACCUUUCUUGGCUAUAUUUUGUGUAUAUUUUUUGAUGAAUUUUGAAUUAGAAUGAAGGAAUUAUUGGAAGUUGAAGUCAGCAUUUGGAAUCAAAGGAGUUGUAAGUGACGUGAAUUGCUAGUAGUUGUAUUUUGAAUAAUAUCUUAUGCAAUUUGAUAAGUUUUUGACUAAGAAUUUCCCAGAAUGUGUAUUUUUAUGUUGCUAAACUUUAUACAUAAUUUUUGUGACAUUUGAGUUUUAAAUUUGUGAGAUAUAAAGAAAAUAGUACUUAGGUGCUUAUGAAUUAGGGAUUUAGAGCACCUACUAGGAUUUUUAAGAUACUUGACGAUUAGUAGUGAAUUUAUAGUUGAAUUUUUGUAAGAUAAAGCUUAAGAGUGAAUUCUAUGAUAUUUGUGAAUUUGGCAAAAUCUGAAUAGUUGGAUCAAGAGAUAUGAAUUUCUAAAGUUUGAGAAGAAGAAAACUUUUGUAGGAAUAUUAUAUUUUGAAGGGAUUUUAUAAUAAC
rnacentral:lncRNA from 1 species